CAGCAGCCUUUCCAAGUGAAUAAGGAAGGCCACUUCCUGGCAGAUGCAAGAACUUCAAGAUAUUUUGGACCCCCGAGAAGGGAGGAAUCCACUUAAACCUGUAGUUAUUGCAGGUGGAAUCUGAUGGCCAAGUGCUUGGCAUGGAUUUCCUGGCCUUGAGAUGCCUUUAAAAAGUUCCAGCAAAGACAAGUUUAAGAGAGGCUAUAUGAUCAAUUACACUUAGAAGGCCUUCUGUACUGGACUCGUCUAUACAAAGGAUUGCUGACUUAAACAACACCCACACCAGGACAAGAAGAAUACAACAUCGGUGGUAGACUGCUGACCGAAGAAUCCGAACCAGGCUUAGUCAAGAGAUCCACGUUAGCAGGAUACCAAGAUACCACGUGGCAAAAUCUUUUGGGAAUCUUAAUUCCUAGUGCAGGACUAUAUGUAAUCAGAAAUCUAUCAGCCACCAUUGAUCAAAUAGCCAGAGACUGCAAAAAGCACUGCUGCA